rnacentral:rRNA from 1 species
GACGGAGGAUGCAAGCGUUAUCCGGAAUUAUUGGGCGUAAAGCGUCCGCAGGUGGGUUUACAAGUCUGCUGUCAAAGUGCAGAGCUUAACUCUGUAAAGGCGGUGGAAACUGUAAGUCUUGAGUAUGGUAGGGGUAGAGGGAAUUCCCGGUGUAGCGGUGAAAUGCGUAGAUAUCGGGAAGAACACCAGUGGCGAAAGCGCUCUACUGGGCCAUAACUGACACUGAGGGACGAAAGCUAGGGGAGCGAAAGGGAUUAGAAACCCCCGUAGUCC